GUGAACGGCUUCGAGUGCAGCAGAAUAGCGGCUCGAGGACCUCCCGCGGGCGUCCACAAGGACAACCCCCAAGUUUGACCUCGGAUCAGGUAGGGAUACCCGCUGAACUUAAGCAUAUCAAUAAGCGGAGGAAAAGAAACCAACAGGGAUUGCCCCAGUAACGGCGAGUGAAGCGGCAAGAGCUCAAAUUUGAAAUCUGGCCCUCUCAGGGUCCGAGUUGUAAUUUGUAGAGGGCGCUUUGGCGUCGGCUACGGCCUAAGUUCCUUGGAACAGGACGUCACAGAGGGUGAGAACCCCGUACGUGGCCGCUGGCCUUCGCCGUGUAAAGCCCCUUCGACGAGUCGAGUUGUUUGGGAAUGCAGCUCUAAAUGGGAGGUAAAUUUCUUCUAAAGCUAAAUACUGGCCAGAGACCGAUAGCGCACAAGUAGAGUGAUCGAAAGAUGAAAAGUACUUUGGAAAGAGAGUCAAAAAGCACGUGAAAUUGUUGAAAGGGAAGCGCUUGCAGCCAGACUUGCCUGUAGUUGCUCAUCCGGGCUCUCGCCCGGUGCACUCUUCUGCGGGCAGGCCAGCAUCAGUCCGGGCGGUCGGAUAAAGGUCCUGGGAAUGUAGCUCCCCUCGGGG
rnacentral:rRNA from 1 species